rnacentral:lncRNA from 1 species
GCUUUACUGUCAUAUUGGAGAUACUGGAGAUAUGGUGAAACACAGGACAAGUGUGCGAUCUACGAAACAUAGAGUAUGUGUUCGUCGGAGGACCAUUGGUGGUGCUACCAAAGUUUCUGUUUUGAGAAACGUUUCACAUCCACCUGUAACUGUGGAUGUUACACCUGUCACCACCACAUCAUCUCUGGAUGAACAUUCAGAGGCAGAACCAAGCAGCAGUUUGCAUGUCCGAGACUGCUUACACAAAAGCAAAGAAGAAGGAGCUCAGGGCCUGGGACUCAUUGAAAGAGGAUAUGCUGCGGGUAUCUUAUGAGUCAUCAGCACCAUCUACAAAUAUCUGUGCUCUCUGCAAAGAGCAUGCAGAGUAUAGGUGCCUUGAGUGCAGCAGUACUAAUAUGUUUUGUGAGACCUGUAUCACAAAAACCCACCGCAAUUCCUUGCACCUACCAGAGAAAUGGAAUAAAACAUUGUAUGUGACAUCUCCGCUUGAAUUAGCACUACGCUUACCAGGAGAACAUUGUUCUCAUGCUGUGUACGCAAGAGAUAUGAAAAUAUUUGUGAACACAGGCCAGCUGUGCAGCUUCAGCGUGACUCUUUGUACAUGUGAACCAGAAACUUGCACCCUGCUCAGAUAUGGAAUCUGGCCUGCGACACCAGAGAGGCCUCAAACAGCGUUCUCUAUAGCUCUUUUGGAGCUUUUUCAUUAUCUGUCCAUGGAAUGCCAGGUGUCUGUUGAGGGAUUCUGCAAUAUGUUGCGGUGGAAAAACAAUCUGUCUCUUUUAGAGGUUAACAUGCUCUACAGAGCUCUGGUGGGAGAAUCUAUAUCCCAGUUUCGCCACCACCACUUUAGAUGCAGAAGUUUAUCUGGUCUUUGUCCCUCAUUUGAUGAUGGAACAACAUGCCCAGUAUGUCCUAAGAGUAACGGCAAUCUGAUUGUAACAAUGGAUGCCAACUUUGGCCUUGUUCGAAAAAGAAGUUCAGGAAGUAGUUUGGUGGAGCCGUUGCAUGGUAACAGAAUGUUUGUGAGGGAAGAAGAUGUGCAAGAAUACCUGUCAUCCCAUCCUGAUGGUUCCAAGCCAAAUGAAGACUGUAGUAAUUCAAGGCAGGGAACCUGCUUCGUUCUCAAAAAAAAACAACAAAAACUAGAUGUAACAGGGGGUGUUUGGAGUCUCUUGCCGCCAUGA